rnacentral:tRNA from 1 species
GCCGCGCUGGAGCAGGUCUUCGGCAAUGCCGCGCUGGAGCCGCGGCUGCAGGCGCAGACCGCCCAGCAGAUCCUGUCCACGGUGCUGCU